AUGGUAGAGGACAUGGACUAUCCAGAAAUGGCAAAGAUGGAUUUCUGCGAGGUAAUCAUCGAAAGUAUUAAGGAAGGAGCCAAGAUAUGGCAGAAACACAAAAAUUUGCCUCGGGAAAAAAAGAACAAAAAGCAUGUCAAUGGUUUGGCACAGGGGCCAGUAAACAUGUACCUCGACUCCCUGCUGCUACCAACCGACACAAAAGAAAUGCGGAAGAUUGCAAAGACAAUGGACAAGACCUCAUUACCACGAGCAAACCAUCUCAAAGAGAGUGACCUAGCGAAAAUAACUAGAGCAGACAUGAAAAGGGACGGAAAAGCACGACCAGAUGACUAUGAAUUUGGCAAAAUACAGAUAGCAGGAGAACAUCGCAAACAACAGCAACACCAGAACACGACCAAACUGCUACCACCUCCAGCCAAACGCCGGCGCGAACCACGUGUCGGCACCAGUGGAAGCAGGGAACCAAACAAAAGCAUCAGCACAGGACCAGAAGAAAGAUUCCAAAGGAUAAACAAAUUGUUGGAAAAAGUGCUCCAUGAAGCAGAACAGAUACCCGCAGUAACCACCAGGGCUGAACACCAAUGCAACGAAAAAGAAGAGAGAUUGGAUGAAAAAAACAAGAACUCACUCGUGCAACAAACAAUUGCCCUAAUGGAUUCAUUAGAACAACUCAGACAAUUUCAGGACAUAGUUUGCACAAGGUACCUGACAGACAACAUGACCCUGCAGACACUAGAGCAAGCAGAUCCAGCAGCCUCAAGUAGACUAGCCGAUGCCAACCGCACGACUGAAAUCGUAGCCACAACAGAACUAAGAGAAAGGAGAAAAAGAAAGAAAGAAGAAGAAGACGAAGAGAGGAAGAGAAGAACAAAAUCAAGGGACGAUGAACUCCAACAGCAGGAUGGUGUCAACAACCCCAAAAACAAGAAUGAACGCAACAAACAAAGCAACCUCACAACAGACAAUGCUACAACAACAACUACCCCAACACAAGCACAAGAUACGGUCGACGUCAGAACCUGUGAAGAGGCUCAGCUGGAGAACAAUGAAGUCAGCAGCCCCGCCAACCAAAUGCAAGAGGCUGACCCACAAUCAACUGUUGGCAUAACAAACGACAAAGAAGAAGAAAACAACGAAGAGGAGGUAUCACAAGCACUGCAAGACCAAGAGACAACCCAUGUUGAAAUUGAACCCCAUAGUGAACCUCAAAUAGACGAAGGCAUCACGGAACAGGAACUUUGUGUACAAGAGAUUUCCAGUGCCACAACAUUGCAGAUCACCAUCACGAGUACAAAGGAGAAAGCCCAAGACAUCCCAGCCGAUGAGAAACAAGAGACUGUUAUACCUGACUAA
rnacentral:rRNA from 1 species